rnacentral:rRNA from 1 species
UAGGGAAUCUUCCACAAUGGACGCAAGUCUGAUGGAGCAACGCCGCGUGAGUGAAGAAGGCUUUCGGGUCGUAAAACUCUGUUGUUGGAGAAGAAUGGUCGGCAGAGUAACUGUUGCCGGCGUGACGGUAUCCAACCAGAAAGCCACGGCUAACUACGUGCCAGCAGCCGCGGUAAUACGUAGGUGGCAAGCGUUAUCCGGAUUUAUUGGGCGUAAAGCGAGCGCAGGCGGUUUUUUCAAGUCUGAUGUGAAAGCCCUCGGCUUAACCGAGGAAGCGCAUCGGAAACUGGGAAACUUGAGUGCAGAAGAGGACAGUGGAACUCCAUGUGUAGCGGUGAAAUGCGUAGAUAUAUGGAAGAACACCAGUGGCGAAGGCGGCUGUCUGGUCUGUAACUGACGCUGAGGCUCGAAAGCAUGGGUAGCGAACAGGAUUAGAUACCCUGGUAGUCCAUGCCGUAAACGAUGAAUGCUAGGU